UACGUAGGGGGCAAGCGUUGUCCGGAUUUAUUGGGCGUAAAGAGCGUGUAGGCGGCUAGGUAGGUCCGUUGUGAAAACUCGAGGCUCAACCUCGAGACGUCGAUGGAAACCAUCUAGCUAGAGUCCGGAAGAGGAGAGUGGAAUUCCUGGUGUAGCGGUGAAAUGCGCAGAUAUCAGGAAGAACACCCGUGGCGAAGGCGGCCCACUGGGCCGGUACUGACGCUGAGGCACGAAGGCGUGGGGAGCGAACAGG
rnacentral:rRNA from 1 species